UACGAAGGGGGCUAGCGUUGCUCGGAAUCACUGGGCGUAAAGGGUGCGUAGGCGGGUCUUUAAGUCAGGGGUGAAAUCCUGGAGCUCAACUCCAGAACUGCCUUUGAUACUGAGGAUCUUGAGUACGGGAGAGGUGAGUGGAACUGCGAGUGUAGAGGUGAAAUUCGUAGAUAUUCGGAAGAACACCAGUGGCGAAGGCGGCUCACUGGACUGGUAUUGACGCUGAGGUGCGAAAGCGUGGGGAGCAAACAGG
rnacentral:rRNA from 1 species